GCCUCUAUAGCUCAGGGGUAGAGCAGUGGUUUUGUAAACCAAAGGUCGGGGGUUCGAAUCCCUCUAGAGGCU
rnacentral:tRNA from 1 species